ensembl:lncRNA novel transcript, antisense to RUBCN
AGGGCCGGGCGGGCUGCGCGGAGCACCUGCAGGCGCCUCCAUGGGUGACGGAAGACAGAGGGGCUGACCAGGUCUUCUACAGGUGCUUAUGGCGGGAGCUCCAGGCCAGUCCAUUAGUGCUGUUUGUAGUGUUUGGAAUAGUCUGGGAACCUUCUGCAAAAGUGUUCAGGUGGCCAUUGGCUGAACCUUCCACUCUAAAACCUGACCUUCAAGAAGGCUUUUCCUGAGUCCUAUGAGCCCUCUGCCUCCUACUCUUACUCCUGCCCCAGCCUUCCCGGAGACCCUGAUGAGUAUGAGCCUACCUUGGAAGCCACAGUUCCUCCAGGACUAAGGUAAUGCUGAGAACCCUACAAAUCAGGGACGAAAACCAAGGUCGCGAAGCCUGGAUUUUCAGGUUUUAUAGAAAUUCUUAGGUGCCUUCUCCCUGUGUGCUGUCAGGGCAUUGGGGCUGACAGAGGCACCCAUUUGCAGCAGAACUGGGGUGAGGCUGAGGGGAUCAGAAAGGGAGGAGCAAGGGGUAUUUUCUGGGUCAACACAGGCCAGCUUAUCUUGUGCAGAAGGAUGUCUCAGGGGUAUUUUAAAGCAGCCUUUAUCUUGACUACCCUUCAAUACAGAUAUACUUUUGUACAUUCCCUCUGUAUUUCAAGGAAAAGAAUCUCUAAAAUUAACUCUUUAAUUUAUGGAAAAUGACUCAUUUACAGCUAAUUCAGUAAGCAGAUAAGAGGAAAAAAUACUCCACAAUGCCACCAUUCUAACAGAACCACACUAAUUUUUACGUAUGUUUUCCUUAUGUAUUUUUUCUAACCAUAUUUUUGCAUAACUGUAAUUAUGAUGUACAUAUGCUUUUUAUAUAGGUAAACUUCUUAAUCUGGAAUAAUUUUAGAUCCACAGUAAAGUUGCAAAGAUAGUACAAAUUCGUCACAUAGCCCUCACCCGAUUUCAGCUCUCCCUAAUGUUACCAUCUUACAUUACUGUAGUACUGGACAUUUCCCAAAACUAAGGAACCAACAUUGGUAUGUUACUUUUAACUAAACUCCAAAUUGUAUUCAGAUUUUGCCAGUUUUUUCACUAAUAUCCUUUCUCCAUUUCGGGAUCCCACCCGGGAUCCCACAUGGCAUUCAGUCAUCGUAUCUGCUUAGUCUCCUCUCGUCCGUGACGGCAUCUCUUUCCUUGUUUUCGAGACCUUGGCAAUUUUGAGUAGGGUCAAGUGUUUUGUAGAAAGUUCCUCGAAUUUUGCUCCUGUGUUUAUGUUGUUUGUUGUUUUUCUCAUGAUUAGACUGAGGUUAUGGGUUUCUGAAUGAAUGUCAGGGAAGAUGUACCCCUUUCAUUGUAUUAGUAGGUACAUGACAUCCAAUGACAUCUUUGGAGAUGUUAACGUUGAUUACUUGGUUAAGGUCGUGUUAGCUCUCUCUACUCUAAAGUUGCUAUUUUCCUCUUUCUAUAUCCUUUUAUUUAAAAAAGUGAAUCACUAAUUCCAGUCCACCCUCAAUGGGAGAAGGAAUUAAACUCCACCUCCUGGGAGAAUUUACGUAUUUUGUUUAGAAUUCUUCUGUGAGAAUUUAUUUAUUUGGUCAUUUAUUUAUGUAUGUAUGGACUAAUAAAUAUAUAUUUGACAUACACUUUUUCUAACUUCUUCUCACAUAACAUUGUAUUACAAGACUUUUUCCCCAUGUUACUAUCAUAAUUUAUUUUUUUGUUUGAGACAGAGUCCCACUCUGUUGCCCAGGGUGGAGUGCAGUGGCGUGAUCUCGGCUCACUGCAACCUCCGCCACCCGGGUUCAAGCAAUUCUCCUGUCUCAACCUCGCGAGUAGCUGGGAUUACAGGCGCCCGCCAUCAUGCCCAACUAGCUUUUGUAUUUUUAGUAGAGACAAGGUUUCACCAUGUUGGCCAGGAUGGUCCCAAUCUCUUGACCUCGUGAUCCGCCCGCCUCGGCCUCCCAAAGUGCUGGGAUUACAGGCGUGAGCCACUGUGUGCGGCUCACUAUCAUAAUUUUUAUAACUGUCAUUUUGAUGGUUGCAUCAAUUUUUUUAUUUUCCAUUAACUUUUUACUUUCAUAAAUUAUGCUGCAGUAAACAUCUUUAAACAAUAUUCUGUGAUUCUUUGUACUCUCAGCUCUGGCAUGGUGUCUGGAACACGGAGGCAUCUAUAGAUGUUUGGGAUUGACGGAUGAUUGAAUGAAUAAAUAAAUGCUGGGCUGCCAUUGUGAAUCAAUGGUCCUUGUUUUCCUCUUCAACAGUCUUUCCAAUUUUGGAAUAUGAUCAUCUAAAAUCUAAGUUAAAUGUUGAGAACAGAAGUUUGGGAACUUACUGGAAAUCAAGCUUUGGCUUCCUGUGAACUACACCAGUUUGUAACAAUGAACAAAAGGGCCUUAGAACAAAGUGAAGGUUUUGUACUGUAAGCUAUUUUCCUAUCUCUAGUUGAAAAACAUUUGAACAUUUUAUCAACUUCAGCAGUCUUUCACAUGGCUUUUUCAUUCUCCUCUCAGUUUAAUUUGUAAAUAUGAAGAUUUUUAAAUAUGUAGGGUGUGUUUACAGCAUAUAAAUAUCAUCUUAUCUCCUGGUUUAGUCCCUGGCAAGGAAAGAGCUGGCAGUUUAAUAAUAAAGUGACUGAAGGACAUUUGGGAUGUGUGUCCUCUGAUGAUGACUGCUGGACAAACACAACAGGAGCAGUUGCAGACAAAGUAGCUGAGGGAGAAGACAGGAGAUGAGGACACGCUCACUACUGCAGAGACUUGGUGAGCACUAAGAGGGGAGGUAGAGGUGGUCACAAUCCCGCCCCUCAUGCCACAGUGUGCUGGUGCUUUUUUUGUUUUGUUUUGUUUUUUUGAGACAGGGUCUCGCUCUUCAUCCAGGAUGGAGUGCAAUGGAGCAAGCUUGGCUCACUGCAGCCCUCGCCUUCCAGGUUCAAGUGAUUCUCAUGAUUCAGCCUCCCGAGUAGCUGGGAUUACAAGCACAUGCCACCAUGCCUGGCUAAUUUUUAUAUUUUUGUAGAGAUGAGGUUUUGUGAUGUUAGCCAGGCUGGUCUUGAAUUCCUGACCUCAGGUGAUCCCCCUGCCUUGGUCUCUCAAAGUACUGGAUGACACUCGUGAGCCACCGCGCCCGGCUCCUCAUCCCACAAGGUGCUUCUAAUCAUUGUUCCACUGAGGCGCAGGGAGGAAAAUAAUGUAUGAUCAAGAACACCUGAAUUUGUGUGCUAGUGGCAGAAAAGUAAUGAGAGAUUUAUUUUAGAGGAAAACAUCCACAGAACUUGAUGACAGGGAGUAGGAAUGAGACGAUGCGUGAUGAGCUCAGUGUGCCACUUACAGAGGAAGUUGAAGACAAUUAAUUUUCAAACCUGGGUGACUAAUGGUUAGGUUUUUGGAAAUACGGAAUUUAUGCUGGUUUUAGACACACUGGUUGGAGAUGACAAGGGGACAUUUAAGGGGAAAUGUUGAGAGAGUUGCAGCGUAGAGCUGGAGCUCCAGUGGGCCAGGAGCAGAAGAGAAAGAUGCUAGCUGCUCACAGAAGUGGGAACUGAAGCAUCUAAGGCAAGUCAGAUGUUGCGGAGAGGAAGACACCUCAUUUUAAGUGACAGUUACACCAUGCACCAGAAACCCAGAGAAGUGAAGUGGUUCGCUCGAGGUCUCAUGGCAAGUUAGAGACACAGCCACUCCACCUCACUUUCCUUGAUGUGUGUGGUCCAGUUUGCUUUACAUUAUAACACAGAAACCUUCUCAAUGUUCAGAUAUACCUGCUUUACAGUGGACACAUGCCAUUUCUUGACAGUCAAGGCAGGCUGACGAAAGACAGAAUUUUAUUUCCUUAGUUUAUUAAAGAUGACAAUGAACUGCCAGGCUGCACAAGCACCACAGCAGGUGGAAACGCAGUUCAGAGCACGGGCGGCACACACGGAACAUCUCUACUAAGACUCGCACUCCUUUUAUGUUAGUUCAACGAAAGCUCUAAAUCCUUGGCAGAGAACGUCAAAAACAGCCUCAUUUAAGUGGAAAAUAUUUGUCUUCCACUCUUCUGCUAUGUCUUGAAUCUUGUCUCCACCUGGUAAGCAAACUAUGUUUUUUUUCUUUCCCUUUACUUACAGAAAGAACACUAUCACCUGCCUUCAUUUAGAAGGAAUUCUCUUCAGUGCAUUCAAAGCUUCUCCCCGCAACAGCAGGGGAUUUUCAGAUAGUGGUAACUUGCAAAGUGCUUCCAAAACAUCCCAUCCUCUACCCACUUCCCCCCUCUUGAAUAAAUAACUGGGUAUUUGGAAGGUGAGGACGGCAUCGUGUCAGAGUCACUAAAACAGACGCACGAUCUAAAGGGAUGGGGUGCGGUUGAGGGAGCUAGGGAAAAAUAAGUGACAAGUGAGGAGCCUAUGAGACUGUUGAGUUCGGCUUCAGAAGCUGUCAGCAUUGUCAUCCUUUGAUCCUAUGCUGAUGUGAAACAGGCAGGACAAGACGGCACAUCUGUCCUCCAGCGCAGUGACCUGGAGAAAGAGCUGGAUGUGUCACCUUUUUGUUUUUUGAGACGGAGUCUCACUCUGUCACCCAGGCUGGAGUGCGGUGGCGCAAUCUCGGCUCACUGCAACCUCUGCCUCCCAGGUUCAAGCGAUUCUCCUGCCUCAGCCUCCCAAGUAGCUGGGAUUACAGGCGUGUGCCACCACGCCCAGCUAAUUUUUGUAUUUUUGGAAGAGACAGGGUUUCACCACAUUGGCCAGGCUGGUCUCAAACUCCUGACCUCAUGAUCCGCCCGCACUGGCCUCCCAAAGUGCUGGGAUUACAGGUGUGAGCCACUGUGCCUGGCCUGGAUGUGUAAUUUAAACCAAAACUGGAAGUAGAGCUCAUUUUUAUAAACUCCUGGGUCUGAAUCUGGGACCUAACCCCUAGUUAAACUUGAGUUCUGUGGGGUCAUUCUUAAAGCUCCCUGAAGGACCUGGGCACUUCUAGUCACAGCCCUUCAGAACUUCUGGGACUUGGCUUUUUGAGUCUCACUAUGAACAGAAGGGAGAACAGCCUCAGGGUCUUCUAGCCCUACAUGGCUUUCAGAUCCCAACUUUGAGGCAGAGGAAUCAAGGGCAGGGGCCAGUUCCCACAUGUUCCCUCUCACGCUGGUGGAGCCUCAGCCCUGGCCAUCACCUUAAUGCCUCUCCCACUUCCCUGGGAGACUCCUUCUUACCGCCAGCUCAAGCUCUCAUCAGCUUCCACCAACCACAGGCAACUUUCCGCUCAGCUUCCAGGGCAGCACCCACGCCCAUUUCUUUCCUACCAGCAAGCAACUAUGAGAAGACAUGCCCAUGGGCAGAAUUCAAUCCCAGAACAAAAAUGAUGCAGGCUUUAGUUCACAGAGCUGCCAGCUCUUGGAGAAGCCACUCUGACCAGUGUUUUCACAGAGGUUAGAAGCUGCAUCAACUUAAGGAACAUCACAAACACACACAUGGCCCCACCCAAGGACUUCACUGUCAACACACACAUUAACGGGGGGGAAGGGGGAGGCAGCACACCAAAAUCAGCAUUAUCAAAAGGACUUCACCAUCAACACACAUUAACGGGGGGAGGGGGGCAGCACACUAAAAUCAGCAUUAUCAAAUGAACAGAUAAACAUUACCAGGCUACACAGAGUUAAGUGCAUAAUUGGCAUAAAGGCUCUUGUUAUCCCAAGAACACAGGGACAUUCACACUCACAUCCACAAACCGUCAAGUUCUGUAACAGCACUAAUAGCAGGAAGCUUUUCUCCAACUUUGACCAAAGAAGCUAAGGCAAGAGAGACUCGGCCACCAGGGAAGGACCCAGCUCUGCUGCAGGAAGGGGAGAGAACGGAGUCGGGUUGUACUUUUACUCAGAAGCACAACGACCAUCUAACAGAGGACAGAGUCAUCAGGGACACGCUAAGAAGAUGGUGGGUGAGGUUCCUGUCCUCACCUUAGGAUGGCAUCAGGGACCUGCCUGAGCUUCAAAGAUCACACCUGCACCAAAAAGCCAGGUUAACUAAGAGACCUUAACACCAAGAGGGGGCCGACCGCUCCUCUGAGUAAGCGCUCCUUCAGCGACAGAGCUGGCGCCUCACGUAUGCUUGCGGCGUAAGGCUACAGGUGAGCCUGGCCUGAGCAUCAGUUCUGUUCUUUGCUUCAAGAUCACCAAGGUAGAUGAAGAAAGUCAGCUUGUGGCAUCCUCUAUGCUUCAAAUAUUUCAAACAGGAACUCCCGGCAACAUAGGGACAUUCACAGCUGCCUCUGAGGUCUCUGAGGAGUCUAGGAUAGUCAGGAUUGUUCUGUGGCCCCCAAAAUACCCAAAUAAGUGGACGAAAUGCCCAUGACGUAGUCCUAUUCUCUGCUGCUUCUCCUCGGGGCACAGUCUGACCCCAGUCCAGGACAGGGAGAGGGAAAACGCCAUCCCCGUUUCAGCAGCAGGAGAGGUGGUUGAGAAAGGCCUGGCUCAGAAGCUCCAGAACUGAAACAAAGGAAAAUUGGAAAUGAUACCUGACAUGCAGGUGAAACCUAGAGGAGAAGGCCACAGACGCUGGAAGAACUUGGUCUUGCUGUCUCUUCCACUGACAGAGGCACUAGAAGCUUCACUGAAGGACCCGCAUGUCAGUUCUGAUGGAAACACCUGGUGUUUACAAAUUAUCUGUCACCACAGACUCUGGACCCAUCAACCUGCCGACGGCUGACUGCACACAG